rnacentral:tRNA from 1 species
GGCUCUGUAGUUCAACGGAUAGAAUAGUGGUUUCCUAAACCAUAGAUUCGGGUUCGAUUCCCGACGGAGCUACCA